rnacentral:misc_RNA from 1 species
GGAAGCAAUUGACUAAAACUGGAAAUAAAUCCUUUAGUUUACUGAUGAUGACAGAUAUAUCUACACAAACAAAAAGAAAGAUGUAAGGUUUGGUACAAUGCCAUCUAAUAUUGGGAGUACGACAAACAAAAGUAAAUAAAUAUGGUAACACUUAUUACCACGAAUGCAAAGAAUGUGCUAUCAGUUAUAAUUAUCAGAUGUGAAUUGAUUUCUCCACAAGAAUAGGAAGCCAUGCAAACAAUGAGCUAAAUAACAAAAUAAACAAAAAGUAGCUAACGACUCUCAAAAUCAUGUUAAAUUGAAUAUAUAUAAAUCAGAAUGAUAAGGUUGCUGGUAUUAUUGCCUGCGCAAAACCACAUGUAUUUAUAUAUUUGGAAACACAUGCAUGGCCAUAAAUGCAGAAACUGAAUGAUGGCAUUGCGAAAUGUAAUUCUACAAAAACCCAUAGAAAAAUAAGAACAUGGCGCUGAGCAAAACCAGCAAAAUCUGUAGGCCUCGUAGGCUCAUAAGCAUGCAACACGCGCCUAGGGACUUCCUAUCAAAUUGAAGAAGAGAUUAUUAGAAAAUAAUAGGCAAUAAGAAAGGAAGAAAAAAAAAAGACUGAAAAAACUUCUACUUUGCAAUUAAUUUUUGGAGAGAACCUUCUUGAAUGUGUCAACUUCUACUUUUUUAGAUGGCAACAGUGACAAGCAGCGCAACAAACCAACAAGCACAUUCUUGAGCCUGCCCUUGUCUUCUAAACAGAACUGGUUCUUCCGCAGAAUAU